UGGUGUGUGGUAAUUAGGCAGUGUACUGUUAGUUAGCUGUUCUCCAUACACCAGCAACUGACUACACUGCCACAUUAACACAUUACUG
rnacentral:pre_miRNA from 1 species